GACGAACGCUGGCGGCGUGCUUAACACAUGCAAGUCGAACGGAAAGGCCCUGCUUUUUUGGGGUGCUCGAGUGGCGAACGGGUGAGUAACACGUGAGUAACCUGCCCUUGACUUUGGGAUAACUUCAGGAAAGUGGGGCUAAUACCGGAUAGGAGCUCCUGCUGCAUGGUGGGGGUGGGAAAGUUUCGGCGGUUGGGGAUGGACUCGCGGCUUAUCAGCUUGUUGGUGGGGUAGUGGCUUACCAAGGCUUUGACGGGUAGCCGGCCUGAGAGGGUAACCGGCCACAUUAGGCCUGAGAUACGGCCCAGACUACUACGGUAGGCAGCGGUGGAGAAUAUUGUACAGUGGGCGGGAGCCUGAUGCAACAACGCCGCGUGCGGUAUGACGGCAAUGGGGUUGUAAACCGCAUUCGGCUGACACGAAGCGUGAGUGACGGUACCGGGUGAAGAAGCACCGGCUAACUACGUG
rnacentral:rRNA from 1 species